rnacentral:rRNA from 1 species
ACGAACGCUGGCGGCGUGCUUAACACAUGCAAGUCGAACGGAAAGGCCUGCUUUCCCUUGUGGAUUGCGGGUACUCGAGUGGCGAACGGGUGAGUAGCACGUGAGUGAUCUGCCCCCAACUUGGGUAUAAGCCUGGGAAACUGGGUCUAAUUCCCGAUAGGACUGCAGGGUGGUGCCUGUGGUGGAAAACGAUUUUCUAGUGGUUGGGGAUGAGCUCGCGGCCUAUCAGCUUGUUGGUGGGGUAAUGGCCUACCAAGGCGGCGACGGGUAGCCGGCCUGAGAGGGUGGACGGCCACAUUGGGACUGAGAUACGGCCCAGACUCCUACGGGAGGCAGCAGUGGGGAAUAUUGCACAAUGGGCGGAAGCCUGAUGCAGCGACGCCGCGUGGGGGAUGACGGCCUUCGGGUUGUAAACUCCUUUCGACCGCGAGGAAGCCACCUGGUUGGAAGGGUGGUGACGGUAGUGGUAGAAGAAGCACCGGCUAACUACGUG